UUCAUUAUCAGUGGCAAAUGUUAGUUUGCCCUGUAAAUUCCGAUAAUGCUAACCUCUCAAAAAGUGAACUCUUGUCCCGUAAUAGAAUUGUCAAAUGUAUCUUUAAUUGGCUCCCAACAUUUUGUUAAUCUUUACAGGUGCCAUGGGUGCUUACAGUAAUUUAGACCAUAACCUGUAAGUAUUAUAAUUUACAUUGGUGCCAGUGUGCACAUACAUAGUCUUUGCUGAAUUAAACUCUAUAUCCGGUGUAGCCAGCCUUUGGCACUCUUGGUGUUGUGAACUAUAUCUCCCCUGAUGCUUUGUCAACAUUUUGGCAUUUAGUGCUAAAGGUUGCCGGCCCCGUGCUCUGUUAAGCUUAUCUAUCCUCUAGAUACAAUUUAUUGAAGUGGGGGAUAGGAAAACCAGAGACUUAUGUUUUAGUAACAUGCCACCAUUUAAUUAUUUAUGAAUGUACAGGGGAAGCUAUUCAGUUUAAAUUUUUUUUUUUUCUCAAUAGUUUGUCUUCUGUAAAGUAUCUUAACUAGUCUGCCUGUUCCAUAUGAGCUGUCCAAAAUGUAAGAAGCGUGAAUAAACUGCGAGUGUUAAAAA